UGGCGGGUGCUAUACAUGCAAGUCGAGCGAAUGGAUUAAGAGCUUGCUCUUAUGAAGUUAGCGGCGGACGGGUGAGUAACACGUGGGUAACCUGCCCAUAAGACUGGGAUAACUCCGGGAAACCGGGGCUAAUACCGGAUAACAUUUUGAACCGCAUGGUUCGAAAUUGAAAGGCGGCUUCGGCUGUCACUUAUGGAUGGACCCGCGUCGCAUUAGCUAGUUGGUGAGGUAACGGCUCACCAAGGCAACGAUGCGUAGCCAACCUGAGAGGGUGAUCGGCCACACUGGGACUGAAACACGGCCCAAACUCCUACGGGAGGCAGCAGUAGGGAAUCUUCCGCAAUGGACGAAAGUCUGACGGAGCAACGCCCCGUGAGUGAUGAAGGCUUUCGGGUCGUAAAACUCUGUUGUUAGGGAAGAACAAGUGCUAGUUGAAUAAGCUGGCACCUUGACGGUACCUAACCAGAAAGCCACGGCUAACUACGUGCCAGCAGCCGCGGUAAUACGUAGGUGGCAAGCGUUAUCCGGAAUUAUUGGGCGUAAAGCGCGCGCAGGUGGUUUCUUAAGUCUGAUGUGAAAGCCCACGGCUCAACCGUGGAGGGUCAUUGGAAACUGGGAGACUUGAGUGCAGAAAAGGAAAGUGGAAUUCCAUGUGUAGCGGUGAAAUGCGUAGAGAUAUGGAGGAACACCAGUGGCGAAGGCGACUUUCUGGUCUGUAACUGACACUGAGGCGCGAAAGCGUGGGGAGCAAACAGGAUUAGAUACCCUGGUAGUCCACGCCGUAAACGAUGAGUGCUAAG
rnacentral:rRNA from 1 species